AUCAUUCUCAGUGUUUGGGGCGUUGCUA
rnacentral:piRNA from 1 species